rnacentral:rRNA from 1 species
GACGAACGCUGGCGGCGUGCUUAACACAUGCAAGUCGAACGCUGAAGCUUGGUGCUUGCACUGGGUGGAUGAGUGGCGAACGGGUGAGUAAUACGUGAGUAACCUGCCCUUGACUCUGGGAUAAGCCUGGGAAACUGGGUCUAAUACUGGAUACGACAUGUCACCGCAUGGUGGUGUGUGGAAAGGGGUUUACUGGUUUUGGAUGGGCUCACGGCCUAUCAGCUUGUUGGUGGGGUAAUGGCUCACCAAGGCGACGACGGGUAGCCGGCCUGAGAGGGUGACCGGCCACAAUGGGACUGAGACACGGACCAGACUCCUACGGGAGGCAGCAGUGGGGAAUAUUGCACAAUGGGCGGAAGCCUGAUGCAGCGACGCCGCGUGAGGGAUGACGGCCUUCGGGUUGUAAACCUCUUUCAGCACGGAAGAAGCGAAAGUGACGGUACGUGAAGAAGAAGCGCCGGCUAACUACGUG